rnacentral:rRNA from 1 species
AUUGAACGCUGGCGGCAGGCCUAACACAUGCAAGUCGAGCGAGCGGCGGACGGGUGAGUAAUGUCUGGGAAACUGCCUGAUGGAGGGGGAUAACUACAGGAAACGGAAGAGAAGACCGCAUACCAUCAGAUGGGCCAAGAUGGGAUUGGCGAGUAGGUGGGGGAACGGCGCACCUAGGCGACGAGCCCUAGCUGGUCGUAGAGGAUGACCAGCCACACGUGAACGUGGACCCGGUCCAGACUCCUACGGGAGGCAGCAGUGGGGAACAUUGCCCAAUGGUGUCAAGCCUGAUGCAGCCAUGCCCCUUGUUUUAAGAAGGCCUUCGGGUUGUAAAGCACUUUCAGCGGUGAGGCGUUACCCGCAGAAGAAGCACCGGCUAACUCCGUGCCAGCAGCCGCGGUAAUUC